rnacentral:piRNA from 1 species
UGUUUUUAACAUGAUGCCCAAACACUUUAC